AAGAGUUUGAUCAUGGCUCAGAUUGAACGCUGGCGGCAGGCCUAACACAUGCAAGUCGAACGGUAACAGGAAGCAGCUUGCUGCUUCGCUGACGAGUGGCGGACGGGUGAGUAAUGUCUGGGAAACUGCCUGAUGGAGGGGGAUAACUACUGGAAACGGUGGCUAAUACCGCAUAACGUCGCAAGACCAAAGAGGGGGACCUUCGGGCCUCUUGCCAUCAGAUGUGCCCAGAUGGGAUUAGCUAGUUGGUGAGGUAACGGCUCACCAAGGCGACGAUCCCUAGCUGGUCUGAGAGGAUGACCAGCCACACUGGAACUGAGACACGGUCCAGACUCCUACGGGAGGCAGCAGUGGGGAAUAUUGCACAAUGGGCGCAAGCCUGAUGCAGCCAUGCCGCGUGUAUGAAGAAGGCCUUCGGGUUGUAAAGUACUUUCAGCGGGGAGGAAGGUGUUGUGGUUAAUAACCGCAGCAAUUGACGUUACCCGCAGAAGAAGCACCGGCUAACUCCGUGCCAGCAGCCGCGGUAAUACGGAGGGUGCAAGCGUUAAUCGGAAUUACUGGGCGUAAAGCGCACGCAGGCGGUCUGUCAAGUCGGAUGUGAAAUCCCCGGGCUCAACCUGGGAACUGCAUUCGAAACUGGCAGGCUUGAGUCUUGUAGAGGGGGGUAGAAUUCCAGGUGUAGCGGUGAAAUGCGUAGAGAUCUGGAGGAAUACCGGUGGCGAAGGCGGCCCCCUGGACAAAGACUGACGCUCAGGUGCGAAAGCGUGGGGAGCAAACAGGAUUAGAUACCCUGGUAGUCCACGCCGUAAACGAUGUCUACUUGGAGGUUGUGCCCUUGAGGCGUGGCUUCCGGAGCUAACGCGUUAAGUAGACCGCCUGGGGAGUACGGCCGCAAGGUUAAAACUCAAAUGAAUUGACGGGGGCCCGCACAAGCGGUGGAGCAUGUGGUUUAAUUCGAUGCAACGCGAAGAACCUUACCUGGUCUUGACAUCCACAGAACUUUCCAGAGAUGGAUUGGUGCCUUCGGGAACUGUGAGACAGGUGCUGCAUGGCUGUCGUCAGCUCGUGUUGUGAAAUGUUGGGUUA
rnacentral:rRNA from 1 species